rnacentral:rRNA from 1 species
GAUGAACGCUGGCGGCGUGCCUAACACAUGCAAGUCGAGCGAUUCUCUUCGGAGAAGAGCGGCGGACGGGGUGAGUAACGCGUGGGUAACCUGCCCUGUACACACGGAUAACAUACCGAAAGGUAUGCUAAUACGAGAUAAUAUACUUUUAUCGCAUGGUAGAAGUAUCAAAGCUUUUGCGGUACAGGAUGGACCCGCGUCUGAUUAGCUAGUUGGUAAGGUAACGGCUUACCAAGGCGACGAUCAGUAGCCGACCUGAGAGGGUGAUCGGCCACAUUGGAACUGAGACACGGUCCAAACUCCUACGGGAGGCAGCAGUGGGGAAUAUUGCACAAUGGGCGAAAGCCUGAUGCAGCAACGCCGCGUGAGCGAUGAAGGCC